GUUUGAUGCUACUGUUGCUGGAAGGUAAAGGUUAAAGCUUUUAUUUUCAAUUGCUUUUCUGCGAUUUCAACUGAAACCUUGUAACUGUCAAUUCUGUGAUGCGUCAGGUUUUCUUUGUAGCCAUUAGGAAAGAUUUAUUUUUUUCGGUUCUGUUUUCAUUAUUUGACUUUGAAAAGUUUUGACUGAUACACUUUGAAUGAGUAGUACUUGAUUGCCUUAAAUUCCAUUAGAGAACGCUUAAAUUAAUUAAAGCAGAGCUUCUUUUGUUGAUCCUUUGCUUAUAUUUAAAAAUCAUAGCUUAUUAUUAAUUUAGAAUGUCUUAAUUUGGGGUGAACUCAGUUACCUUCAUAAAUGUUCAAUUAUCAAAGGUAUUUAACGUCUGAGAAGGCAGUGCUCUGAUGCCUACUUUAAGCUGGGAAUGAAUGUUAUCUGGGUCAUCUUACAUGCAAGUAUAAGCUUUCUUGUUCAAUCACCUAUAUGGUGGUUUGACAGCUUGGAGAAACAGGUGAGAAAUAAAUGAGUUAGCAGCCUUAAAUAGAGGCUUACACUUUUAACUAAUCAUUAUUAUGGAAGUUGCUUUGGACAGAAUUCACUAGUUUUGGUGUGAAUUUAUGGGUUCUAAAUUUGUGGAGAGUUCUCUGCCAAAAAUAAGGUGAGAGACUGAGUUUUGGUUUUUCCGUUGAGUAUUGCUGUAAAGGCUUUCACAACAGAAUAACAUCUAACCGAAGUUUAACUGUGUUUUUAUCAUGCAUGAAUCAUUCUUUUGGCUUCAAUCAUGUACUUAUAGACGGCACAAUACUUACAAGUUUGGGAGUGCUUUAGAUUCCAUAAAUCUACUCUCUGAAUCACCUGAAGAAAGAAAUGAAAAAGUUGCCACAUGCCAAGCUUCCAUAUUGAGAUACUGGUUGAAGAGUCUUAAUGAGAUAAAUGUAGUGAAGUGGGGUGUUAUCAUCUCUGACAAUAGGCCUUUCUUUUAGUUGGAAUGUUUUAAGUAACAAUCUCUCUUAAUUGCCAUAACUAUUAGUCGUUAUUUGCUACCUGGGAUAAUUUAUAGAGGAGGUGUAUUGGUAUAUUGAGCAGAAAUUAGAAAUUAGAAUGGUGAAUUCACUGAAUUGGCACUUUUAUGUGAUUCGUUUUGCUCAGAAUUAUUCUUAUUUAAUGUGGCUCUUAAUGUUUGGUCAUAUUGUUGUGUGUGCUUUGGCUGGUUUGGCGUUACUUUCUUUUGCAUGGAUAACUAUUGAAGAGUUUCUAAAGAAUAUAAUUCCUUGUUUAUGAGCUUUAGUUUAUUAAAAAGGGAAUCCAUUUAAUGAUUUCUUGUAGGAGUUGUUUCGUAUGUUUUUAGGUCCAUGCACUUGUAGAAGUUUCAAGUAUUUGAUCCUCUUUUGGACAUCUUUCUAUUUUCUUUUUGAUAAUAAUUUCUAAUUUUGCAUUCCUUUGUUCUUCAAACAGCAUCACUGUUAUUUUCUUUGCA
rnacentral:misc_RNA from 1 species